CUCAUAUUAGUCAGGGGCAUAAAGCAAUAAAAGAGAAUUCGAAAUUGUGACUUCCCAGCUCUGAUGCGCAAACCUUGCACCUGACAUAGGAGGAAUCAGCAGGAGCAGCCUACCUGCCCGACGACGAUUCAUCCGUGGGAGAGAUUCUGGGGGUUUCCAUAACACCGCGUUCGUGUGUACAGGGUGGCACUCAUUGCCAUUGUUUAAUAAUAAACUGUUGGUGCGUUCGUCUCUGGCACCAGGCUGUGACCGCCUUGAGUGCAAGAAGUGUCCUAUCCGGCCUGCCAGCUGUCCUUAUAGGCAGCGUGGGGAAUGACAUGCGGGAGGUGCUCAAAUAUUAGCAACAAAAAGUGUAUUGGGGGGAAAAGUGUAUUGAAUACAGUUGCUUAAACAGGUCCAGGAAAUAGCACCUCCUUCCUUAAAUGAAAAUAGUGCACUGAAACACACUGCAGUUAAAAGUGUUUUAACGGUGAAGAAAUGAUUUAACUUUAAAAUAGUCAACCAAACAUUCCUAGUGAGAUAUAUUAUUUCAAGAGAAAAUAAAAAUUUAGGCCUUUUUCACA